GGGUCGGUAGCGAAGCGGUCAAACGCGGCAGACUGUAAAUCUGCUGGCCUUGUGCCUUCGGUGGUUCGAAUCCGCCCCGGCCCA
rnacentral:tRNA from 1 species